rnacentral:lncRNA from 1 species
UGCCCAGCGCAUUCAUAGAAAGUAGGAAAUUAUGCCCCAUUUCCCUAUGGGCAGACUUUCUAUAAACAUCAUUUGAGUUUCUAUAAAAAACAUUUAACAUUCUUUGGGCUGUUCUGGAUCACUUGCAUUUUUCUGUGUGUUUUAGAAUCAGUGGUCCAAGAACUGCUAAAAAUAAAAAAAAAUUAGAAUUUUAGUAGGGCUUGUAUUGAUUCUGAAGAUGUAUUUAGAAAGUAUAAGCAUCCUGGUUAAUAAUAGCUUUCUGAUCAAUGAAAAUCUAGUUUAUAUGGCAUAUUACACUAAUUCUUGUAUUCAUUUAUUUAGGAUUUCUUUAAUAA